UGCAAGAGCACUCUGUAUCACAUAAAAUUUUUAUAACCUCAUGUGAGACAAUUUAAUACCUUGCUAGAUUAAAUUAAAGCUGCGACUUAUCCAUGUGUUCGUGUCCUUAUAACUGAUCACAUUGAAUACGCGCUAUACACUAG
rnacentral:snoRNA from 11 species